rnacentral:lncRNA from 1 species
CCGCGGCUCCGCUUAGCUAGGUGGCUGCCUCCAUGUCCUCCCUCGAACCAUCUGAUAGUUUUAAGCGGUGACAGGAGCAGAAAAGACCCCUGUAGCGGCGCUUCAUUAAUGUGCCACUUCUUAGCUAUCAUAUGACAAUCGCCUUGGGAGGAGGAGGAAGAGGAGGGGGAGCGGGGGCUGCAGAGGGAGGGGACUGAGCGAGAGGGGAGAGCCUGGCCAGCUCUCAUUUCUUUCACACCUAUUUACAUGGACACCUUGGCCAAUAGGAAUCACUUCCAGCUCAAGACUGAGCGUGGGGAAGAGCCUCGGCCACCGGAGGGGAGCAGGACGCGCUGGUCAGGGUGCACGGUGUGAAGAAAAAUCUCAAGUCAGAAGAAAGCUUUGCUGAGGCAACAUGAAGGCGUAAGACCCGAUGAAGGUAUACUGUACAGGUAAAUUCAACAUUGUCUUCGGAACAACAAAAAACCCUUUGCCUAAGCUGAUCAACACAUUUUAAAAAUGUUUAUGGCAGUUAAUGGGCAUAUAUUCACAGGCUGCUUCCAUGUCCCUACUCCUAGCUCUGGUCUCAGCAUUCAUUACGCUGUAAACACUGUAGCGAGGUGGCUCAAUUUGGGUAUUUAGUGAUGUUGUCUUUUGCAUUCUUAACAACAUGAUAAAUUAUUUGUGGCACCACUCUCCCAACAUAGUUUUUAAUUCAGGUUAAACAUUUCAGUUAGUAGCACAACUAAUGGAACCUCAGAGUGUUAAAAUAAUAAUAACAUUUUUUAAAAUAUCAAGCCAAAGGUGUGGAAAAUUCCAAAGACAUAGCAUUAAUAGGCUCAGUAAUGAGAAGCAAUCUGGGGAAAUAUAGUCUACAAACAGUUACCUUCCUACCUAGUUGCUCCCUCAUUUACAAUACACCAGGCAGAGAUUUUAAAUGGAAAGACUGCCUUAUUCAGCAGGGAAUCUCCUGAAUUUAGUACUUAGGAUGAAUUCAUUGGGGGGCAUUUAAAGGGAAUUUUUAUCUUGUCAAUUUCGAUGUGUUAAAAAACUAGUAAAAAAUGAAGUAAUUUACAUCCCAGUGUGUCUUACAUAUUCAGAAUUCCAUAUUGUUAAUUUAAGUUGACAUGUUUGCUUUAAAAAGUCAGUUACUAUAUUAAAAUUUUUCAGGAAA